CAUAUUGUGAGCUCGAUGAGUAGGGCGGGACACGUGGUAUCCUGUCUGAAUAUGGGGGGACCAUCCUCCAAGGCUAAAUACUCCUGACUGACCGAUAGUGAACCAGUACCGUGAGGGAAAGGCGAAAAGAACCCCGGCGAGGGGAGUGAAAAAGAACCUGAAACCGUGUACGUACAAGCAGUGGGAGCACGCUUAGGCGUGUGACUGCGUACCUUUUGUAUAAUGGGUCAGCGACUUAUAUUCUGUAGCAAGGUUAACCGAAUAGGGGAGCCGAAGGGAAACCGAGUCUUAACUGGGCGUUAAGUUGCAGGGUAUAGACCCGAAACCCGGUGAUCUAGCCAUGGGCAGGUUGAAGGUUGGGUAACACUAACUGGAGGACCGAACCGACUAAUGUUGAAAAAUUAGCGGAUGACUUGUGGCUGGGGGUGAAAGGCCAAUCAAACCGGGAGAUAGCUGGUUCUCCCCGAAAGCUAUUUAGGUAGCGCCUCGUGAAUUCAUCUCCGGGGGUAGAGCACUGUUUCGGCAAGGGGGUCAUCCCGACUUACCAACCCGAUGCAAACUGCGAAUACCGGAGAAUGUUAUCACGGGAGACACACGGCGGGUGCUAACGUCCGUCGUGAAGAGGGAAACAACCCAGACCGCCAGCUAAGGUCCCAAAGUCAUGGUUAAGUGGGAAACGAUGUGGGAAGGCCCAGACAGCCAGGAUGUUGGCUUAGAAGCAGCCAUCAUUUAAAGAAAGCGUAAUAGCUCACUGGUCGAGUCGGCCUGCGCGGAAGAUGUAACGGGGCUAAACCAUGCACCGAAGCUGCGGCAGCGACGCUGAUGCGUUGUUGGGUAGGGGAGCGUUCUGUAAGCCUGUGAAGGUGUGCUGUGAGGUAUGCUGGAGGUAUCAGAAGUGCGAAUGCUGACAUAAGUAACGAUAAAGCGGGUGAAAAGCCCGCUCGCCGGAAGACCAAGGGUUCCUGUCCAACGUUAAUCGGGGCAGGGUGAGUCGACCCCUAAGGCGAGGCCGAAAGGCGUAGUCGAUGGGAAACAGGUUAAUAUUCCUGUACUUGGUGUUACUGCGAAGGGGGGACGGAGAAGGCUAUGUUGGCCGGGCGACGGUUGUCCCGGUUUAAGCGUGUAGGCUGGUUUUCCAGGCAAAUCCGGAAAACUAAGGCUGAGGCGUGAUGACGAGGCACUACGGUGCUGAAGCAACAAAUGCCCUGCUUCCAGGAAAAGCCUCUAAGCAUCAGGUAACAUCAAAUCGUACCCCAAACCGACACAGGUGGUCAGGUAGAGAAUACCAAGGCGCUUGAGAGAACUCGGGUGAAGGAACUAGGCAAAAUGGUGCCGUAACUUCGGGAGAAGGCACGCUGAUAUGUAGGUGAAGUCCCUCGCGGAUGGAGCUGAAAUCAGUCGAAGAUACCAGCUGGCUGCAACUGUUUAUUAAAAACACAGCACUGUGCAAACACGAAAGUGGACGUAUACGGUGUGACGCCUGCCCGGUGCCGGAAGGUUAAUUGAUGGGGUCAGCGCAAGCGAAGCUCUUGAUCGAAGCCCCGGUAAACGGCGGCCGUAACUAUAACGGUCCUAAGGUAGCGAAAUUCCUUGUCGGGUAAGUUCCGACCUGCACGAAUGGCGUAAUGAUGGCCAGGCUGUCUCCACCCGAGACUCAGUGAAAUUGAACUCGCUGUGAAGAUGCAGUGUACCCGCGGCAAGACGGAAAGACCCCGUGAACCUUUACUAUAGCUUGACACUGAACAUUGAGCCUUGAUGUGUAGGAUAGGUGGGAGGCUUUGAAGUGUGGACGCCAGUCUGCAUGGAGCCGACCUUGAAAUACCACCCUUUAAUGUUUGAUGUUCUAACGUUGACCCGUAAUCCGGGUUGCGGACAGUGUCUGGUGGGUAGUUUGACUGGGGCGGUCUCCUCCUAAAGAGUAACGGAGGAGCACGAAGGUUGGCUAAUCCUGGUCGGACAUCAGGAGGUUAGUGCAAUGGCAUAAGCCAGCUUGACUGCGAGCGUGACGGCGCGAGCAGGUGCGAAAGCAGGUCAUAGUGAUCCGGUGGUUCUGAAUGGAAGGGCCAUCGCUCAACGGAUAAAAGGUACUCCGGGGAUAACAGGCUGAUACCGCCCAAGAGUUCAUAUCGACGGCGGUGUUUGGCACCUCGAUGUCGGCUCAUCACAUCCUGGGGCUGAAGUAGGUCCCAAGGGUAUGGCUGUUCGCCAUUUAAAGUGGUACGCGAGCUGGGUUUAGAACGUCGUGAGACAGUUCGGUCCCUAUCUGCC
rnacentral:rRNA from 1 species